GUCGAGAAUCUUUCACAAUGGGGGCAACCCUGAUGGAGCGACGCCGCGUGGAGGAUAAGGUCUUCGGAUUGUAAACUCCUGUCAUGCGUGAACAAGGUUGCUUGGUUAAUACCUGGGCAAAUUGAUGGUAACGCAAGAGGAAGAGACGGCUAACUCUGUGCCAGCAGCCGCGGUAAUACAGAGGUCUCAAGCGUUGUUCGGAAUCACUGGGCGUAAAGGGUGCGUAGGUGGCGUGGUAAGUCAGAUGUGAAAGCCCGGGGCUCAACCUCGGAACUGCAUCCGAUACUGCCAUGCUAGAGUACUGGAGACGUGACUAGAAUUCUCGGUGUAGCAGUGAAAUGCGUAGAUAUCGAGAGGAAUACCAAAGGCGUAGGCAGGUCACUGGACAGUUACUGACACUGAGGCACGAAGGCCAGGGGAGCGAACGGGAUUAGAAACCCGAGUAGUCC
rnacentral:rRNA from 1 species